UACGUAGGGGGCGAGCGUUGUCCGGAAUCAUUGGGCGUAAAGCGCGUGUAGGCGGCUCGGUAAGUCCGGUGUGAAACCUUGGGGCUCAACCCCAAGCCUGCACUGGAUACUGUCGAGCUAGAGUCCGGGAGGGGAGAGCGGAAUUCCUAGUGUAGGGUGAAAUGCGCAGAUAUUAGGAAGAACACCGGUGGCGAAGGCGGCUCUCUGGAACGGUACUGACGCUGAGACGCGAAAGCGUGGGGAGCGAACAGG
rnacentral:rRNA from 1 species